rnacentral:rRNA from 1 species
AACGUAGGAGACAACCGUUAUCCGGAGUUACUGGGCGUAAAGGGCGUGUAGGCGGUCUGUUAAGUCUGGCGUGAAAGCUCUCGGCUAAACCGGGAGAGGUCGUUGGAUACUGGCAGACUAGAGGACGGUAGAGGCGUGUGGAAUUCCGGAUGUAGUGGUGAAAUGCGUAGAGAUCCGGAGGAACACCAGUGGCGAAGGCGACACGCUGGGCCGUACCUGACGCUAAAGCGCGACAGCAUGGGGAGCAAACGGG